UUCUUUUCCAGUGUUCAUUUGAAGGUGGUAUUGCGGGAGAACCUGGAUCCGAGGCUCAUGGUGGGUAUUUUUCUCUGCCUUUAUUCAUUUUAUCUUGUUGGAUGUUGUGUUCUCCAACUUUUAUUGGUGGGAUGAUAAAAGAUAUGAUUGUUCAAUCUCUAUAUAAUUUGAAGGUUCACAAUAUCAUGGAAGUAUACCUUUUGUGGUUUGGCUACUUUGAUUCUGAUCAAUGAGGUUCACCAGUUGGACUUGCGGAGUUUACUUGUAAUACUUUGCUGAGGAAAAUUAAUCACCAUUGCUAAUACUGCUCUUCAUUUGUAUUAAGACCAUGCUAUUUGGCUUCAAUGCUACAUGUUAUUUUGACAUGUUAUGGAUAAUAUUGGAAUCUAUUUCAAUUCAUUAGGACUGGGUGGUGUUUUGUCAAGCUAGUUUAGAGUGUGGAUUUCAGGGAAGAACAAAUAAGUUGGUUGAUGGAUGCUAUUCGUUUUGGCAGGUUAGUUUCGGUAUUGUUUGAUUCAGCGUUUCUUUGGUUUUCAUUUGAUUGAUUUUUGACAACAGGGAGGCGUUUGCUCACUAUUAAAAAGAUUAAGUUUGGAUAUUGAUGAACAAUCAGUUCAACCU